AGGAUUGACGUGGCAUGCAGGAACGAGGACUUGAGGGAGUGGAAAGGCAGGAGUAUACGGGCACUUGAAGACGGUGCACCAAAGAAGAGAGCUGUGACGCCCUCCCGCCCCGCUGUGCAAACCAAUCACGUGUCAUCUUUUAGGGUCAGCCCAGGUCACAGUCUCCAAGCAUCGGCGGCACAGAGUAAUGGCUGCCUAUCGUCCUCCUCCUCCUCCCCCCUACAGUGACACAGCCCGGUGGCGCCACAGUAACAGUAAGUGCCUCCACGCUUUAGUCACGCCCCACAGCACACUAACAGCAGUCCCGGCACGCCCCCGCCAGCCCCGCCAUAACGCGCUGUGACGGCACUUCGUUGUACGGUGACGCGAACACUCGUGCUCUCCUCUGUACGUAAUGGCAAGACAAGCGUUAUCAUUGUGCUGAAAGGGCCCU